UACGAAGGACCCGAGCGUUUAUCCGGAUUUAUUGGGUUUAAAGGGUGCGUAGGCGGAUUUAUAAGUCAGUGGUGAAAGCCUAUAGCUUAACUAUAGAAUUGCCAUUGAUACUGUAGGUCUUGAGUACAGUUGAGGUGGGCGGAAUGUGCAGUGUAGCGGUGAAAUGCUUAGAUAUUGCACAGAACACCAAUUGCGAAGGCAGCUCGCUAAGCUGUAACUGACGCUGAGGCACGAAAGUGUGGGUAGCAAACAGG
rnacentral:rRNA from 1 species